GAGGAGGAGAAGUAGGAGGAGGAGGAGAAAAAGGAGGAAGAGGAGGAGGAGGAGGAUGAAGAGGAGGAGGAGGAGGAGAAGAAGAAGAAGUAGAAGGAGGAGGAGGAGAAGAAUUUAUUUUUAAAGUUAUUGUUUCCACUGCUAAAUAUUAGACAAUUGAUGUUGUCUAAUAUUUUAACCAGUUUGGUAUUACUCUGAUAAGUUACUGUAAGUAUGACAUCCUUAGCUAGCUAGCUAGGUAGGUAGCUAACUGACAGUAUAGUUCACUGUAUUGUCCUGAAUAACACGAUGAAGACAACGGGGGUUUUAGUAUGGGCCAGUGUUAUACUUGUUCUUUAAAAAGUGAGGAACCAGAGGUAACACAUUUUUUAAGGUUUUAUGGUGACAGCGUGCUUUAUGGGUUCUUGAAGGUCAAUACCAUAUAACAGUGUUUAUAGACUCACUCAACUUAUUGAUAGUAGAUAAUUAGCUAAUGGUGAUAUUAAGUAUCUUUACUUUAUUUCUGAGGUAAAACAAGAGUGUAUUUUAGUAGGGACCAUCAUGGGAAUUGCCAAAACUCCCCCUCUGCUUUCAUCCGUGCUACACCCUCUAAUGGGCCCCUCCUUGGCACCCUGAAAUUUCACUCACUGCCCAAUCAGGAGGCAGCAACCACACACUAUAUCUAUAAAGCACAAAGCACCCACUGUUCAUCUUUCUUUUUCACGCCACCUUAGAGCUCUGAUCUACACUCCAGCCUGCCACUCGUCGCUCCCGGGCUCGGAUGGCCAUGACGCCUACUUCUGCCGCCUUCGCUGGUGGCACCAGACGGAGGCCAACCCCUGCCCUGCUCAGACGACUGAUGUCAGCUGCUCACCUGGUGGUGCGCGUUAGUUGGUCUGCCGCAUAUGUGAAAUCUUCAGCGAUAGAAACAACGCAGGCUCCGGAUUCCAGCUCUUGUGUGGAGCGAUGUCACCUUUUGGAGCUCACCCGGUUGCCUCAGUGAGGGGGUGCGUUCCCCACUGUAUGUCCAAGUUUGCCUCAGAACACUGGUCGUCCACAUCCACUUUUGUGCAGUCGUAUCUCAGGGAUAAGACGUCUGACUCUGUGUCUCACUUGGUGUAACUUCUGUGGAUCUGGGUCAUGCCUUUUGGUCAUUUUCAGCUCCUAGCCUGGAGCUUGCGGUUAGGUUGUGGAACCUAACGGCCUUCGCUUCCGGUGAUUACCAAUAACAAAGCCUGCAUGCCAUAGUCUUGCCAUAGCCCUCUAACUACAGGCCCAGCAAGCCCGUUUUAUUCUAGUAGCUGAGUUCAUAAGAGAGAUGAUUGAGUCUGCGAUGGAUGCAGGAUAAUCCCAUUGAUUUCAGAGACCAGAGCAGGACAGUGAGGGUGAAUCCCAGAGCCCCAUCAGUACUUUUCACUGGCUGAGGAUAACUGGUAAUUAUUGGUUCCAGCUGGUUGGACGUACUCCUCAGUUUUGUCCCAUUCUGAGACCCAGCCUCCUCCUCCUCCUCCUCCUCCCAUGCCUCCGGCUCCGUUGGGAUCCGUUCCCUGGUUCAUGGCUCCGUAGCCUCCCCCGCCACUGGUGCGAUACAGCUCCUCCGUCUCGUUUGCGAGCUCAUCCUCAUCCAGGAUGCCACAUUUUUCAUCGCUCAGCUGCUCUGGCUCCGCCCAAACUUGCUUCUCUCCGGAUGCAAAGAGGCCUGCAGCCCAGAGACAUGGUCAUGCUUCAUAAGUUUCCUGACGUUAGUGGUGGUCAUGAUGUUGUUGGAGCGCAGAUAGUCAGCAAGCUGGCCGCCAAUGGGCACGAUGAUGGUCAUGACGAGGUGGGGAAGAGCGGAAACCAUGCCCACCUAGAGAGAGUACGCAGGCUGGCUGAUGAGAAGCAAGUAGAAAGUCCAGCUUCUGCAGAAAUUCGCCACGAUGAUGGCGUACACCGGCAUGGACGUGAAGAAGGCCCUCCACGUGAUGGUGGGAUGAGCUGCUGGACUUUCGUAAGACACCAGGAACCAGAAGCAAUACCACAUGAUCCCAAAAGUUCCUGAGGGGAGGAAGGAAGACAGGCAGGGAAAAGAGAAGGAGUAAUACGGUGUGGCUGUUGACCAUGCUGACGACAGCCACGCCCAGGUUACACCGGAUACCGAAGGAGAUGCAGAAGCCGAUGCCAGAGAGGAUGGCGAUGAUGUAGCGCCUGGGCAGGCCGAAGCACGUGCAGUCCACCACGGGCAACUCCUUCUCCUCCACCAUCUCCGGCCGGCCCUCCGCCGACAGCUCGAUGGUCUCGCCAUUUUCCUGCUUCUUCUCGAGAGCUCUGUUCAGAAGGGAUUGGAAAAAACGUUCGUCUCCUGACAGAACUGGCCGACAGUGAGGAAAACAGUGCGAGUAUCCAUGCCCCUCUUCUCCUUCCAAACAAGGUUAACUACUCCGCUCUUUUUCUGCUCUGGUCUAUAACCUACGUUCAUGCUGAGAAACCCUGAGAAACCAUGACCUCUGCCAGCCUCCAGUCUAACAGGCAUGAAAUAUGUAUCGAAACGCAUCUAUUAAACAUGACAUGUGCAAUGCUGAGUUCUCAGAUCAGACUCAAGCACUGCAGGUCCAGAUGCAGGAGCACAGAGCCCCUUUUAUAUCGCAGCUUUAUUGAUUAUACAUAUUUCGUUUUUCAUACGUACAUGUAAAAGUUAAAAGCCAAUAUCCCUA